UUCAGUGUUUUAAAUGGUUUAAAUCACCAUGUCUGUUUGUUUUGCAGAGUUAGAGACUUCCGCGGAGAAUUCAGUGCUUGAUGAAAACCUCCUGAACAUUUGGAUCUUAAGUUAGAAUAAAAAGAGUUGGGAGAUAGUAAAAGCUGGAGACGUGUUGCUUGUGGAUGUGUUUCCAAGGUGAUAAACCUUUUCACUCCAAAAGUGACAAGAGGUUGAGAAAUCGCAACAGCCGCUCACGCUGCUCUGUGUUAUGAAUAAUUAAGGAUGGGCCACUCUGAGUGACAAGCUGUCUUCGGCUUCUCCAUCAGAUCCAGCCUCUCGUCCAAAUAUGGUCACUUCUGGCUCCAAAUCACGGAGAUGGACGCUUCAAACAGGAGUCCACAAACCAUCACGUGAGCCAGGCCUUGGGCUGCCAGCGGAGGACGUGAAGUCAAGUUAGGGAGCCAAGGCCACUGUCAGCUCUCAGUGGUUAGAAUAACCCAGAAAAACCUCCUGGGAACCGGGCCUGGAUCAGACCAGCGCUGGCAGGGAGAAUAAGUGAGAGUUUAGUUUAAAGCUUUCAAGCAGUGGCGGACUUGUUGGACCGUGUGAACACAGCCUCCUUCUUCAAUUCCUUCAGUCACCUUCUUCAGCAGACAAGUGUUGCCAUAUCUGCACAAAUCCAAAAGCCUGGUGACAUCCAAGUCUUUCAUAAUAUUUAAAAGUAGGGUUCUCCUUCCAACUGGGAAUAUGGGCUUUUAUUUUGGGCAUGCAUCUCUACCCAACUGGUCCAGCCACGGAGUCCAGAUUUCUCCUUAGUCACUAGUUCAAGGUCCACAGAGUUGAAUCAGUUCAGCAUCAUACUUGUGUUUGUCCAUGUCAUUGAGCUAGUCUGUUAAGUAGCUGCCUGCCCGCUUAGCCUGACGUGCACCUCCCCAGAAAUGUAACUACACUUUGUAGCGAUGCAGACCUCCUGUAUAUUUUUGUAAGCUGAAGCAUUUUAGGUCUUGUGUGUGAUUUAUCUUGGCUUCA